UGGGCAAUCUGCCCUUCACUCUGGGACAAGCCCUGGAAACGGGGUCUAAUACCGGAUAUGACCUCUCAUCGCAUGGUGAGGGGUGGAAAGUUUUUCGGCUAGAGAUGGGCCCGCGGCCUAUCAGCUUGUUGGUGGGGUAAUGGCCCACCAAGGCGACGACGGGUAGCCGGCCUGAGAGGGUGACCGGCCACACUGGGACUGAGACACGGCCCAGACCUCCGUACGGGAGGCAG
rnacentral:rRNA from 1 species